GCUGCUUAGCUCCUCCUUGUUUUUGCUGAGGCUGGCUUUGAACUCACAAUCCUUCUGCCUCAGCCACCCAAGCUGCUGGGAGUACAAGCAUGGGCCACUGCGCCUGGCAAAUCUUCACAAGGUUGUAAGUUACAUUCAUUGUCCCAACUUUACAACAGAGGAAACUAAGGCUCAGAGAGGGGAACUAGCUUGCCCCACAUCACAAAAUGAGUAAGUGACAGAGGAAGGAUUUGACUUCUGCUCCUAUCAUGCACAAAGCCCUUCAGAAUGAGCCGAUGCUGACGUCCAUGCCUCUUCAGCGGCCCCUCAGGAGCCCCAUGGCCUGCCCACAGGUGGCAUUGCAGUCUGGACAUAUCCUGCCAUACCUGCCUCCAGGCGUGGACUUCCCCAUUUCCCAGAGGCUCGCUGCUGCCCCCUGCUCCAGUGAGGAAACCCUAGGCAUCCCUCUGGAGCCAGCUGAAGUGCCAUCCCCAACGCCCUGGGCACCCCCACGGCUCCCCAAGUAGGGUCCAGGCUCCUCUUCUGUAGCCUGUGUUGCUGCGGAUGGCAGCGAGGGCAAGGAGUGGUCCACCUUUGUUGUGUGUCUGCCCCGGCCCCUCUGCGCGGACCCAGGUGUCCUGUACAAUGUACCCGAAGAAACGCAGGGGGAAGGGGGAGACAGGAGCUGGUUCUCGCCUGUGGAUGGCAGCCUGCUCGCCCAUGGGUUGUCUUGUCCCCGCCCGCCCGCUGACUUCACUUGGGAGAUGCGCAUUCGAGGCGGGGUGGUGGUCGCAGGGGCCACCUGCGGGCGACUUGGAGCUGUGUGCUGCCGCCGCCAUCCUGCGGGCGAUGCUGCGCCCUGGCGUCGCCGCGGCUCUGCGGGUCCGAGGCGUGGAGACCGAAGCGCGGUGCUGCCUGGAAAGGACCCCACGAGCUUCCACCUAUGAGAGAAAAUGUUCAACCUUUGAUUUUCCGAGACUGUCUUCUAUCAAUUGGCAUGAUGUUCUCCAUUUCCAUCCAUUUGCCAGUAAAGGGCAAGUGCUUUUAUAAACUUCAAUAGCUACCACCAAACUAUUGCAGAGAAAUGGCAGCAAUUUGCACUGCAGCAGUCGUGAGAGUGCCUGUUUCCCAGGAGGGUCACCAACAAAAUGUUGUCAAGCUUCUGGCCCCUGGACUCACACAGCUAGCUGGGUUUAGAAGAAGUGAGCGGGGGGUGCACUGUCGGGUCUGGUGCCUGCCUCCUCACACUCAGGAACUUCUCUCCAUGGUGCAAGGGAGAAGUGGUAUUGUCAUUUCACGGAUGAGACACUGGAGAUUUGGAGGGCAGCCUGUCUGCCAGGUCUGUACUCAUCAUCCCGGCCAGUGUCUUUCAAGCUUGAAUGUCCUUUAGAAUCCUAAAAUGGCUUGUGAAAAGUAGGCAGGGCCCUACCUCCAGAGUCUCAGAUUGAGAGAGUGUGGGAUGGGGUCUAGGACAGGAAGUUCUGAGUUCUUAGAGAUGCUGAUGCUGUAGUCCAGGGACCACCUUUUGAGAAUCACUGUUCCUGCUCUCCUCAUACGGGACCCUACAUAGACAUGACCUUGCUGAUCUACUCUUGCCCUUGGUUGGGUGAUCAUUUGAACUCUGCAUGUUUACAUACCGUAUGCAUGUGUAUAACUGGAACUUUCAGGGUCUUCCAAAUGUCUCAAGUAAGUUUGUGACUGAUGAUGUGCUUCCUCAAGACUGUUUCCCCAGCUCUUAAUGGAGAUGAUGCUCAGAGGACACCACAAGGGAGUCACAAGGAAAGAAGGAUGCGAACCACACUUGCAAGAUUGGAAAGGCUGUGCUAAGCUAGUUGGAAUGGUUCCCACUGAUGGAGAAGCCAUGAUUUUUGGAGGAAAGCACAGGGCUACUCCCACUGAACGUGGCUGGAGGCACUCGGCUGUGGGGCUAGGGUGUCACCGUGGUCCCUUCCCAGCCACACUCUGGCUUUGCGGUUCAGUUAUCCAAGGUGCAUCCCAGUUCAAAAUUACUAAAAGGAAAAUUCCAGAAAUAAACCACUCCUAGGUUUUAAUAACUUUUAUGACA